UUCCGGUUGAUCCUGCCGGAGGCCAUUGCUAUCGGAGUCCGAUUUAGCCAUGCUAGUCGUGCGAGUUCAGACUCGCGGCACCGAGCUCAGUAACACGUGGCCAAACUACCCUACAGAGACGGAUACCCUCGGGAAACUGAGGUUAACCCGUCAUACCGAUCUCAGGCUUGAAUCGCAGAGAUCACAAAACGCCCCGGCGCUGUAGGAUGUGGCUGCGGUUGAUUAGGUAGACGGUGGGGUAACGGCCCACCGUGCCCAUAAUCAGUACAGGUUGUGAGAGCAAGAACCUGGAGACGGAAUCUGAGACAAGAUUCCGGGCCCUACGGGGCGCAGCAGGCGCGAAACCUUUACACUGCACGCACGUGCGAUAAGGGGACUCCGAGUGCGAGGGCAUAUCGUCCUCGCUUUCGUGUACCGUAGGGUGGUACACCAACAAGGGCUGGGCAAGACCGGUGCCAGCCGCCGCGGUAAUACCGGCAGCCCGAGUGAUGGCCGAUCUUAUUGGGCCUAAAGCGUCCGUAGCUGGCUGCGCAAGUCCGUCGGGAAAUCCACUCGCCCAACGAGUGGGCGUCCGACGGAAACUGCACAGCUUGGGACCGGAAGGCUCGAAGGGUACGUUCGGGGUAGGAGUGAAAUCCCAUAAUCCCGCACGGACCACCGAUGGCGAAAGCACUUCGAGAAAACGGAUCCGACAGUGAGGGACGAAAGCCAGGGUCUCCAACCGGAUUAGAUACCCGGGUAGUCCUGGCCGUAAACAAUGUUCGCUAGGUAUGAC
rnacentral:rRNA from 1 species